CUGGCUCAGAACGAACGCUGGCGGCGCGUUUAAGCAUGCAAGUCGAGCGGCAAGGGCCUUCGGGCCCCUAGAGCGGCGGACGGGUGAGUAACACGUGGACAAUCUGCCCCCCGGCCCGGGAUAGCCCAGGGAAACCUGGAUUAAUACCGGAUGAGACGGGACCCGCGAUGGCGGGACCCGGGAAAGGCGCUGCGGCGCCGCCGGGGGAUGAGUCUGCGUCCCAUUAGCUAGACGGCGGGGUAACGGCCCACCGUGGCGACGAUGGGUAGCCGGCCUGAGAGGGUGGACGGCCACAUUGGAACUGAGACACGGUCCAGACUCCUACGGGAGGCAGCAGCUAAGAAUCUUCCGCAAUGGGCGAAAGCCUGACGGAGCCGACGCCGCGUGAACGAAGAAGGCCGUGAGGUUGUAAAGUUCUUUUCGGGAGGGGGAACAACCGUGGCAGGGAAUGGCCGCGGGAUGACGUGAAUCCCGGAAUAAGCCCCGGCUAACUACGUGCCAGCCGCUGC
rnacentral:rRNA from 1 species